UGGAUGACAUGGAAAGCAGGUACCAGCCUCCUUCAGAGGACGCCUCAGAGCUACCACUGCCUCUUGCUACUAAUGACAAGCUUGGAGCUCUGAAGCCAUGCACUUGGAGAAGAAUCCUAGAGAAUCUUGGGAGAGGAGCAGGAUUAUCAGUCAAGAGCCUCCAGCUAACUAUAUCCAUCUGGCACAAUCAACCGGGUUCUCUGGGUUUCCCACUUUCUCCAGCUCACUUUUAUGUCCACCAAAACAAACCCCCUAGUCAGAGGCAGCAUGAAACACAGCCAUACUGAGCAUUCCUUUCAGAAUGAGAACAUAAGGCGCAUUUACGGCUGGGGUUUCCAGCCCUCCAGCCGGCGGAGACACGCCCAGGCUCUGGCGGCAACCCGGCUCCCUGGCUACCCUGGGAGGAAAAGCUUGCUCUCCCCCAGCCUCACCCACAGCACUGGGCCCAUUUACACAGUCUCCGGGGACCCAUUUUGUAACCAGAGCAUUCUCAGCUAAACCCAUUCAGGGCAUGAAGCCAGAGGACUCCUGUAACCACCUCCAAAUGGCUUCCAUCUUGUCCUCCCUCCAUAAUCGGGAAUACACUGCCAGGUUUGGCUAGUCUUCCAGACAGGUCAUGGGUCUUCCACAGAAACUCAGUGGCGCUCCAUUACCAAGACCUGCUCAAGUGGCAGGGCACUGGGUCACAGAAUUCUUUAUAGAACACUCAAUAGGCUGUUUUUUUUUUUUCUACUUGACUUUGUGUGUUUGGCAUGCUUAUGUGCAUGAGUUGAGAGUGUGCAGGAGCGUGUGUGUGUGCAUGUGGACAGCCAAAGUUGAAAUCUGGGAGUCUUCUUCAAUGGCGCUUUAUUUAUUUAGGCAAGGUCUCUCAGUAAACUCAAUUCUAGCUAGUUUAGCUACGAGUUAGCCAGUCCUAAGAUCCAGCCUCUCGUAGGUGACCCCUAUAUCUGCCAGACUUUUACAUGCCGAACUCUGGUUCUCAUGCUUACGUGGGAAGCAUUUUAUUGGGCGAACCAUAAGCUCUGCCCGAUAUGCUGACAUUGAAUUAUAAAACAUUCAAACAAUAGCCCCCAACUAGCAAAGAGGAUUUUUUAAGUAUUCAAAAAAAAAUUACCCGAUGUGUCCCUAAGACGAAACAAAAGCUAAGGAUCGGCCUGCUGAGCUCCUAGUUUAUUCUCUUGGGUAUCUGCUCACAUUGCCUAAAAAACAAAGGGUACAGACAACAAAGUUUUAGCAAAGGACGCGUAAUGGUUUAAUGCAGGCACGUCUCUACGAACUGACUGUUCCUCUAUGCUGUACUUUCAUGGAGCCAUUAUGAGAGCAAAGUUUGAGAAACAGAGAGUUUGGAGGGAAAGGGCCUAAACUUGUCAAUGACCCCUACAAACUGGCUUCCUUAACCCACACUUCCCAAACUCCACCUCUCUGCCCCUCACUGCCUCAAGUACCCACAGGAACUCUGAGCUCACUUUCCUCUUCCACCCUACAUGCUAAUGCAAAGCCUCCAGCCCAGGAAGAAUGGCCAUGUCUGGCCCACAGGGGAGUAUCCAACAGCAGUGCCAAGUGUUUGCUCUCUGCUUUUGAAUCUCCUCUCUUCUGAGUAAAAUUCAUGAGGGUGGGGACCAACCAUGCCUUCAACAGCCCAUGACUCAGAGACUAGCACAAUGUCUUCUCUGACAAGCAAAACUAAAGCUACUCCAGGUUAUGGCUCCCACACAUCACAACUGCCGAGCCAUCAAACAUUGCAAAAAUGUUCCCUGCAGCAUUGUUGAGCACUGCGCACGCUGGGAGCACUGUCACCACUGGGCCUUGGGCUGUGUGAGGGAUGGGGCUGUCCUGCAAAAGAAAAAGGCUGCCAGAUUCCCAAGAGCCGUGGGCAGCCAACCCAACCUGGGAUGGAAGUACACUGGGUAGUAGGCACAGUGCCCUCACCCUCCUCCAGUUCCCAGAGGUCCUAGAGCCAGGGCAAAGAGAGCCAUGGGAAUUGAUGGCUCAGGUCCAGAACAGUGAAGAUAAAAGGGACGCCUCAAACCAGGCCUCUUGGAUUGCGUUUCUACCUUAACUGAUCUCCACAGCUGGAUAUUUGUGCGUACAUAUUCGUAUGUGUGUACAGAUGUGUGUGUUUGUGGAGGCAAGCAACUGUCCUUGGUUGUCUUCCUCUCACUCCCCUUCCACUUUAUUUUUUGAGGCACUGUAUUUUUUGUCGCUCAGCAGUUAAACUAGCUAGCUACCAGGCCCCAUAGAUGCACCUAUGCCCAUCUCGGCAUCUCAGUGUGCCGAGACAUUUUACAAGAUACUAGUUACAGACUCAGAGCCUGACUGUGCAGCCCUGAACCACCUUCCCAGCCCACAUAACUGACUUUCUAAGUACACUCCAAGUUGGCACUCAAAGGGACUUUCAGUUCUAUAAACUUCUGGAGGCACUAUCCCAGAACAUUGCCUCUCCUUUCUACCACAAUGCCUCACUGGUGGCAGGAAUCACCUAGUGCUCUUUGUCUGAGGCUGAUGACUGUGUAGACCUGGUCUCCCUGUUCCUCGAGGAAGACUAAGAUUUAGUGACAUCACCAUUCUGGAGCCAGACUGCUCAGUUUCAAAUCUGGGCUCCAGUUAAGUUGUCUGAAUUUGGAGAAGUUAUAUAACUUCACGGAGGUUCUAACUAUUGCUGUAAACCACCAAAAGCAGAUUAUAAUUUAUGGAUCAUUAUGGAGACUGGAGGCGUAGCAAAUGCUAGGACAGUGCCUGGCUAUAUGCACAGCAAGUAUGAUAUAGUCAAGGGCUGCAGAACACCUACCUAAGUGACAGCGGUCCUGUAAGAUGGCAAUGUUGCUGCCAAUUUCCUAUUGUGUGGGAAUACCAUGGCACAAUGUACUUAUGGGAUAGGUGUGAACAAGUCAACUGUGCUGCAGAACACACACACACACACACACACACACACACACACACACACACACUAGGUUUGUACACUCAAUGACAGCUGGAGAUCAAAAUGGACACUUCUCAGCCCUUACCACCCUGGUAAGUGACUUGGCUAUGCUAAAUGCCAUGGUGAUGACAAAUGACCAGGAGCAUCUAGUAAAUGCUGGUUCUUGGAGCUAGAAGAGGGCCAUGCCGACAGGAAGAAUCAAGUGGGAGAAAGGAUAAUCAUUCAAUUCAGAGGAAAGGUGUUCCCUGGGGUACUCCCUGGUCAGCCUCUCUCAGUGGGGUGCCCCUACAGUCAUCCCAUCUGUCAUUGCUCCUACCUUGCAGUUGAGAUAGAAGGUAAAUGGAGAAGUCCUUAAAAAGCACCUCACUUAGAUGAGGUGGCCAGAAGCCACGUAUGCCCAGACAGUUCAAGUUAUGGUUUCCUUUCCUCUGUGCCUCACUACUUCAGCUGGGGCAACCAGAGGCACGAGAGGCCCCACAACUCUGGUAUUCUAGGAUGCCAUGGUACUGACGUGUCUAUGACUUAUGAAGAGCUAUCACUUUGCUGCUGUCCUCUACCUCACUACAAGGCUGAAGUGCCACAGCUGCCAAAAGUGCUUUGCAGCAAGUGAUUCCGAGUCAAAACAGGCUGAGUUAGGCAGCAGAGGGAGGCCAGGCUGUCCACAUGCGGUCUAAGGGUCCCAGCACCCCUUGCCUCACUGCUCACUCCCUAUCUCUUCCUCCCAGUGCUGCAUGCUCAAUGCAGGGCACCAGCUCAGUCUCUGAAGGUGUGCUUCCAGUCAGCAGUACUGAUUCUACUUUGCAGAGGACUCUCCUGCAGGCCUGGCUGUGGCCUCACCUGCCUCUCUGAGACCUGCUCUCAUCCUGACUUGUACUCUUGGUACAUCAGAACCCUGGGCAGGAGUGUAAGAGAGGACUUACAUGUGUGGAGGAUGCAGGAGUUCACUUGCUUUUUCCCACACAGAGCAAACAACCAGGAGAAUAAAGGAAAGGACACAAUAUUUUCUGAGCGGAAUUUUAAACAUCCACAGUAGUACCAAACUGACUGCAUAAGAGGUUACACUGUGUCAGAGUUGUCCCUCCCUUUCCCCACAUUCUGCAGGUGCAAAGUCCUAUAAACUGACAAACCCUAAAAUGGACAGCUAAAAUGUAAGUUAAGCCAGCCGGAUGCUUCCAGCAUGGCCAGGCUCAAGUCAGGUCUACUUCAUCACGUUAGCUGUUUUCCUGGAACAUUCACUUUUAAGAUCAAGCUUCUGUAGCUCUGAAUUUGCCAAGCCAGUUCUUAACUUUUGGGAUAUGACAUUCAACAAUUAUAUUAGGGUGACCAGGCUAUGAGGCUUUCCAAGCUUACAAUCUUGUCUAAAACAAAUAACACCCAUGAAUAAGACAGGCGAAGAGAUAAGUGAUGGCGAUGGUGAUGAUUACAGUGAUGAGCUCUGAGACAGACUAACUAAGCAAUCCUAUUUGCCCAGGAACUUGCUAUGUAAACCAGGCUCGUUCACACAAAUCCAUUUGCCUCCGGGGUGCUGGAAUUAAAGUUGAAUGACACCACACCAGCCUAAAAUUGAAUUUUCUUCCCUUUCUUCAAUUUGUUCUUUAAUUAAGAAGCUAGGCAUGUUUCUGAGAAUAAUUUUAAAGGAAGGUGAAACUUUAUUAUAUUUUUUUAUUAUAGAAUUAGAAAAUGUCAAAAAUAAUUGUUUGGAAUCACAAAAAAUUAAAAAGGAAUAUAAUAAUUGAUUCAUCAAAAGGCAUUCUAGCUGCUGUUAGCAUAUUUUCUUUCUUUGGAUUAUGAACUUCUAUGAUUUCAACUGAAUACUUUUGACAGUUUCCUUAAGAUAUGAUUUUGACUUAUUUUUUCUUCAGUAUUUCUGUCAUUUCAGGAACCACCUGCAAAACAAAAAAACCAAAGUAGUAGUUAAACUUCUUGAGCCCUCCCUGGGAUAGGGCCAUUAGUUUUGGGGGCCAUAGGCUAAAAUCAUGACAGACCUCUGCUCAACAAUACGUGCCAUGUAGGCUCACUUGUUCUCUCCCCCAACACGGACGGCAAACCCUCAGUGAGGAGAGCAUGAAGACAACAGGCUGUUGGGGCUAGAGCCACCUUCUGCCCAGACAUCACUGGAAAUACCUAGCAGGAGGCUGUUUUUUUCUCCAAGGCUCAGAGCAGCUCUGUACCCCCAACAUCCUUCCUUCUUACCUCUGUACCCCCAGCAUCCUUCCUACUUUCCUCUGUAUUACCAACACCCUUCCUUCCAUCACUGUGCACCUCACUUUCCUUCAAGUCUGCACAGUGUCACUACUCACAACUGCCACCUCCUUAAGCAUCUCUCUCAUUCUUGCACUGCACACUGCACAGACAUUUCACUGGCUUUCUUAACAUGUAUUGCUAUCAGACAGCAUAUUCAAGUGAACUAAACAGGCAGCGUCAUUGCUUUUCUUUAGAACGCAGGUUUUGUGCCAAUGCCCAUUCUAUCAGCUAGCUGCAGCCCUAUCUUGUCAGGACAGUGGCUGUAGCUAGAGUCUGAUGUUCUCUCACUGCUUAAACAGCCAUGAGCCGAGAGGGGGACUGUGGGACAACACACGCACAUUGUGAACACUAGCUGGGCCACUGGUGUAAAAUAUCAAUUACCCAGUCCUGAAAAGGGCUGUGGGUUGUCCUAGCUCACAGAGAUCUUCGUUGACCGUUACACUGAUGAAUGCAGCCUCUCAAUUAUUUAAGAGAGCUACAUUUCCACCAGGUGGAAAUAAUGCGUUCCUACAAAAUUUAUUAAGGAAAUUGUCGACAUGUUGUUUCUUCCGAAUGUCACUUUGUCCCCAGCCUAUUAAAAGGCCUGUGUUUACCAUGGAGCCAGCAGGCAAUUGCUCAGGGCAGCACUAAGUGCUGGCACCACUUCCCCUGGCUUUCCUCAGUGGAGGGACCAUGAGCUCAUGCCAGUCACAGGGUGGACAUGCUCCCAGAGCCUCAUGUGGGGACAGCCAUGUUUCAUGAAAAAAAGUCAUAGCACAACAUCUUUCUCCAGGUCAAACAUUUAUAACAAAACAAAACUACCCUUCAGAAUGUCCCUGCCCCACAUUCCCCACAACAGAGUCAAGGGGAUUUUCUCACCAUCACUUAUUAGUCUUAAAACAAUUUAAACCAACAACAGACUUUACAAAUAUUCUAUAUAAUCCUUUAGGGGAAAUGCUAAGUGUAAAGGCUGAAAGGCCUGGGUUCUUAUUCUUAUUUUCCUUUAGAUAGUGCAGAGGUACCCAACUCUACUUAGCCAGGGCCCUUAGGAAGACGUGGAUUUAAAAAGAAGGCAGUCUACUACCAUAAACAUGGAUGAACAUGUUCCCCUUAGACUUGGGAGAGUGGAGAUGUCUCUGGAUAAGUGAUUUCUCUGCAGUGUACUGAAAUGUACUGGAUUAGGUGAGGGCUGUUGACCUUCAUGGACAUUCUAAAAGUCCAGCAACUGCAUAUUGAGUUUGUUGAGCAAUUCUACUACUAGAGGUAGUACUCUAAAUGUGGUCAUCUUAUACCAGCAUGUAGGAGAAUGAGACAAAUGGUGUUACCUGCUACAAACUCAGGAAUUCUUAAGAAAGAAAGAGAACAAUGUAGAAUAGGAAAAUUUAGGAUAUCAUCCUAGAGGAGAAACAAAGUUUGGUUGAGGGUGAGGGGCAGGGAAGAAGGGAGAAAGAGAGGAGCCAACAGAAGUAAAUACUGCAGGUUCAAGAGGGAGCAGAGAGUUCAGUGGCUGUAAUGGGAAGAUGGGGCAUAUCAAGUCCACCCAUGGGGAUACGCACUAUGGUCUCUUCAAUACACGGUGCAGAACAAACGGAGAUCCACAUGGAAAAAGAGAGAAGGUACCACACACAAAAAUGUACUCACAACAGAUGACUGUACCCAUGAAACUGUUAGAAGAAAAGCGAAGACUAAAUCAUUACUUUAGGUUGGCCAUCAACCUUCAGAUACAGUAACAAAACCCCAAGUAAUGAAAGAAAACAAUGAACAGACUGGACUUCACCAACAUUAAGAACAUUUGUAUAUCUGAGGUUAUCAGAAAGUUAGAGUAAAGUUGGACAUAGUGAUACACCUUUUAUCCCAGCACUUGAGAGGCAGAGGCAGGCAGAUCUCUGUGCCCAGCCUGGUCUACAUAGUGAGUUCCAGGUCAUCCAGGACAACAAAGUGAGACACUGUCUCAAAAACCCACCAACUAACCAUCCAACCAACCAAACCAAACCAAACCAAACCAAACCAAACCAAAACAUCAAACUUUACUCAACGGGAAGAAAUAUUUGGAAAUCACAUAUUUGGUAAGGGCUUUGUAUUGAGAUAUGGAGAACUCCUGCAAGCCAACAGAAGGACAAACAACCUAAUGGAAGACUUCGAAUAUGGUUCAAUUCCCAAGCACAGCACUUGUCUAAAAUGCAUGAAGCCCUGGUUUCCACCUCUAGCACUUGAAAAAAAAAAACAACAGAGCAAGAGAGAGAAAGAGCGAGGGAGAGUGAGAGGGGGGAGAGGAAGGAAGAAAGGGACUGGGGUAGAAAUGUUUAAUAAGCAUCAUGUGCUUAAACCUCCUUAACAUCAUUAGUUACUGAUGAAAUACAAAUUAAAACUAUAUAGCACUACUCCAUCCCUAGGAUGGCUCUAAUUAAAGGAACAGAAAAGAGGAAGUGUUGGUGAGGCUGUGGGGAAAGGCUUAUUUAUACAUUGCCAGCAAGAGUAUGAAACACUGCAUUCUCUGUGAAAGCAGUCUAGAAGGUCUUUAAAAAGCUAAGAAAGAAUUGUUUUAUGAUCAAGCACAUUCUGCUCUGUGUACAUGCAAAGAAAAUAAAAGCAGGGAUUUGAACAUAUACUUGAAGCUCACUGUAUUAGGAAAAAAUUUUCUUAAGUAUACCAGUUAAAGCAUAGGUAACAAAAGAUUAAAAAAAAAAACUAGUGAGGACUUAAUCAAAAUUUAAAAUGUUUAUACUCUCAUGAAAGAGAAAAGGUGCCUCAGAAUGAGACUGCACUGGAAAUCACUCCUGAUCAGCUUACUUCUGGAACCAAUAUUGCUUACAAUUCAAUAACAAAAAGGCAAUGAAAUUUAAAAACACAAGUCAUUUCUACAGAGAAAAUAUGUAAAUGGCUGAUAAGAAUCCAAAAAGAUAGUCAACAUCACCAGCUAUGGGGAGAAUAAAAUGAAAACCAUAAGAAGCCACUUGACACCCACAGGACCUGUACAGUCAGAAGGACAAGGAGUAACGUGCUAGUGCAUGACAGAAAGCUGGGAGCCCCAUGCACUUCUAGUGGGAUGUUAGCUGUACUGCUGCUGGGAAAGCAGGUAACACAGACUUCUACAUCCACUCUGAGAAAAGAACACUCUUGGCUGUAGAGAAAUCUGUAUGUCAAUGCUAAUAGUGUCUCUAUUCACAAUAACAACAAAAGCAGGAACGACCGACUGGACAAACAUGCUGCUUAUGUCAGCAAUAGACGCUGUUUGUCAAGAGAGAAAUGAAGACUGAAGUGUGCACAGCUGAAACCUGAGCCUUGGGCUCAAGGAAACCGGCCAGAAAGAUCACAAUAUUAAUAAUUUCAAUUGUACAAUGAGGCCAGGAUGGGCAAGUCUGUGGGCUAGAGGUAGAUCUGGGAAUGUACUGCACAGAGAUGUUGGUACAGGGUUUCUCUGCAGUGGGAUGCAAUUAUGUGAACAGUAGGUUCAGUUUACAGCAGCAUGAAUAGACUAUCAGUGUAUUAUGUAUUUUAUCUACAUUUAUUGGUGUAUAAGUAGUGGAUGCAUGUGCAUGCAUGAUUAUGUAUGCAGUGAUGAUAACUUUGUGGGACAGGAACAACUCGUGUUCUCUCAUCUACCAUAUGAGUCCUAGAGAUCAGCUUGUCAGCAAGUAUGGCAGCAAGUGCCUUCAGCUGUUAAGGCAUCUUGCUGGCCCUAAUUACACAUUUUAAAGAUACUAAAAACUAAGCUGCACGUUUGAGGAGGUUUGUGUAUGUGAAUGCAGUUGCUCACAUGGGUCAGAAGACAGUGCUGGAUCCUCCGGAGCUGGAGUUCCAAGGGUUGUAAGCUGCCUCAUGUGAAUGUUGGGAACCAAACUCAGAUCCUUCACAAGAACAGUAAGAGCUGAGUAAUCUCUUCAGCCCUGAAUGCUACAUUUUAAAAUGUUAAACUUUCUAGUAUGAGAAUUUUUAUAUUUAUAAAACCAUUAUAAUAAAAAGGUCAGGUCAUUCUAAUACCUUUUAUAGUAUUUACCAAUUACUCUGAACACCUACUAUGUAUCUGAACAGAAGAGAAUACAAACAGGCUAAUAUUUAUUAUAGACUGCAGGAGAUACAGUAUAAUCACAGUCUGUAUUGCCUUCUUUAAGGUAGGCAGUAUAAUAAUUACAAUACUUACGAUGAAGGUAACACUCAGCAGUACUGAUCUGGCUGAGGUAAUCUAACUAGUCCCAAGACAGGACAGAACCUGAACUAAAGCCCUUGGUAAAUCAUAACAACUCCACUUUGUGUCCUAAUUCAAAACUUGUGAAGGGUUUUUGGCUGGACUGGGAUUAUAGCUCAGUGGUAGAACACUUGCCUAGCAUUUGUAAGACUCUGAUUUUAAUCCAUAAACACACACACACACACACACACACACACACACACACACACACACCUCUCCCUUCUUUUCAUAGCAGCUUCUUCUCUCACCGAGACAUCUCAGUGGCAAAACAACUCCCUAGUUACACACGUAGGUCAGAAAAGAGCAGCUGACCUACAUGCACUCUUCCUGACACAGAACCUCACCAUCACUGAAGUAAGGUAACAUUCUUCCCAGGACAAGGCCUAGGCCCUCAGACAGUCCCCUGAGUGGAAGGAUGACUUCUGCUGAUUAGAGAGCAGCCUCUUAGAUUUUACAUGCAGUCUGAGCCAACAGGAGAGUCCCUGAGUAGGUGAAGGGUCACCCUCCAUUCUUCACUGCCCCAAGUCAGUGCUCUUGCUGGGAACUGUGCCGUCUCUAUUCUCAGGCUUCAGCCUUCCCAAUGUGCCUUGCAUUCCCUCAAGGUAGUUUCAUAUCAGGGAUUCCUAUUCCAGCAAACCUAUCUCUCCUAGCACUGAAUGCUACUCUCAGUGUCAACUUCUAUAUGAGUGACUCUGCACACAGGUCAGGGCAACAAGGGCAGGCUGAGCCAAGCAUGAACUGUGUGCCUUUAAAUGUGGCCAACUGCAUUUCAGGUGAUCAUCAGCUAUAAUUUGCUAAAUAAGUUUAUAUGACUAAAGUAAAGUAGUCUUUCUCAUGGGGAAGGCAAACACAUCAGGAGUAGUAGGGUAAAAUGGGGGAAAACUUGUUUUUCUUAAAACUAUCACAUGAGAAAGACUUUAACUUUCAAACUCAGUAAAUAGAACAUCCUUGCUGAGCCAGUUAUUAGACUUGAGUGCGAACUCCUCCGCUGCAAAGGCUUCAGGUCCUCAGCAAUCCCUGAACGAAGAGCUUGGUGGUCGUUUCUUCAGUGCGUCUGCUAAAUGUGGUCCUAGUUCCGACGCAUGGUCACUUCACACUGUGCCAAGAGCCUGUGGGUAUUUUACAAUCUGGAUUUCUUUGAAAGAAGCUAUGUUGUAUAGUAACAUCAGAAAGCUGUCAGGGAGAUUACAUUUAAAGUAGGAUAAAAUUAUAAAAUAUAUUACAUGUACACAGACACACGACACACAUUUUUGUCUUUCUUUUAACUUGGAACAAUCUGCUGGAUGGCAAUGCUGGUAAUAUUAAUUCCUCUCAAGACUAGCUUACCUUAAAUAAAUCUGCAACUAUUCCAUAAUCUGCCACUUGGAAAAUUGGAGCUUCUGGGUCUUUGUUAAUAGCCACAAUUGUCUAUGAAAUGAAAAUACAGAGUUGAACUUUCAUCAAGAAAACAUACCAUACUGUUUGGUGAUUCUGUUUUAACAUCCUUCUUAUAAUAUGCUAAUAUUAUUUAAAUAUUCAUCAACAACAAUUUGGAGGUUCUAUGACAACACUAUAUAUGUAUACAUUAUAUAUGUAUUAGAAGUUUUUGGGUUGUAUUAUAGUAAAAUAUUUACCACUUAGCCUAUCUCAGAGUAAAGAGUUUAAAAUUAUUAUCUUCUUGAAAUUCUUUUAAGUGGGAAAAAGGUUAAUUUUAGAUAAAAUAGUAACAAAUCUAUACCCCAAAUCAUAGUGUUGGUCAACUUUUGUUUCCUAUAUAUUCUAUUCCACUUAUUAUUCUAAAAUCAUCCUGGGUCUGUUCUGAGAAUAUAAGCUAUUUAUCUUGCUAACCUGCUAUUAAAGAAGAACUUAAAAGUCCUCAUGUAUGUGGCAAAUGCAUGCAAUAAAACAAACAAGUUUUUGGGUCUCUUGUAAAAACUACCAAAGAUUAGCCUUCCCUCCUACAGAUGCAGUCUUAACUAUGAAAGACUGUGGUGGUUCUUACAGAGUGGGAAAUGGUUUCAUAUUUCCCACAGUUGCUUUAAACACUAUUGCAGUAAGUAAGGUUAGAGCUGUGACUCAUGUUUUAGUGAGUGGUAGAUUGUAAUUCAGUUCUCUAGAGCAAAGUUAAAUUUCUAACUACCUGUCAUUGUAUCUUGAGAAACAUACAGUUAUUAUUUUGAUAUAGUCUGACCUAAAAUAAAGGCCUCAUGUCUAAUUUCCCUAAUAGGGCUCCUGAAAGGGGCAUUAGAACAUGACAGAAUAAGUGAGACUGGAGCCAGCAUAGCUUUGAUGACAGCGAGCUCAGAAACAAUAUACAAGUUUCACAUGUAAGUCUUAAAUCCAAACUCAUAAGGACAAACACACUGCCUCACAGGCCCCAGCUUUCACUGAGGUGCUUCUCUUCUGGGAAUGUGCACCUUGAUUCACAGCUAGAAGUAAAGAUUUAUUUAAUUGAUGACAGUUAACGAUUCUCUUGGAGGCCACCUAGUCAAACAUUUGACAGUUUAAUCAUCUGAAAGCUUUUCAUCCUACUAUAUAAAAGUUAUUUUAAAAGAAAGAGCACAUAACAAUGGGCUAGGAACCACAAUGAUAUUAAAAAGAAAGUGGAUGGGUAUACUUUUCUGGAUUACUGAAAUAGUAUUCUUAGAUUAUCAACUGUAAAAUUGUUAUGAUAAAGCCUUAUUUGCUCUCAAUAGCUCCUUGUAAAUUCAGGCUUUCCUCCUCCUAUUUUAAAUGGACACAUUGUAUCCAACUACACUACUGAACUAUCACUAUGUAUAUAUAGCACAGAUACUAAUUUGCUACGAUAAUCAAAACUCACAUUAUGCUGUCAUGCUAAUUAAAACUGCAGCUCAUAGACAAUGUAAUUAUCAGAUUUAAGGCAUUCUAAUAUCCCACUUUAGAAUUUAAUCAAAAUUACCAACAGAAAUCAUUGGCUCCCACAUAAGACAGACAUAAUAAUAGCUGAAUCUUUUUUCUUUUUCUACUUUUCUUUUUUUCUUUUUUUUUUUUUUUUUUGAGUCAAAAGACUAUAGACUGGGCUAGUCUAGGCUUGAUGAUCUCCCUGCCUUAGCCUCCCUGGUAGUGGGACUCAAAGUGUGUGCCUUCACAUCUGCUAGAUUAACUUUUAUUCAUUUAAUCAUUUAAUUAUGUAUCUGUGGAUUUAGUGAAGGUAAGUUCAUUUAUUGUCACAAAUUAUUCCCCAGCUCUGGUUUCAGCUGUUCCUAGCUUGCUUAGAUAUACACUAUCAAGUUUGUUUGAUUUCCCUCAGCAACUAGUCCUGUUGCCAGGUGAGGGGAAUAUUCAUCAGGGUCUUCUUGGCACACGUAAUCCUUUAUUUUGGAGAAGCAGUAUUCUAGACACAUGAGAAUUAUUCUAGCUAAAAAAUGUAAGGCUCUGGUAUAGAAGAAGCUUUGUGUGCGCGCGCAUGCGUGCAUGUUAGUGCAUAAGCCACAUUUUCCCCAGUGGCACUGCUGUUUUCAGAGUUCAGUAAAGAAACCUGCCAUCCAACUGUGAAAUCUGACUGGAUCUGAACCAAUUCAUUUAGAAGCUACAAAGAGACAGUUCAUGUACUUUUCUUCAAGUUAGAACUCAAGCCUGUUAAAAGUUUUAUCAUCUUUUAUAUCCAGCUUCCAUCUGAACGGAUAAAUGCAGAGUUUCAGAUCCAUCUCUGUCUUCAUGAAAGGUAAGUUCAUAAUUCAAGCUGUACAUUGUUAUGCAUGAGUUAAUAUGUCAUACUCUGAAAUAUAUGUUCAGAGUUAUUUCAGAGGAUUUCCAAAUAUAGUCCAAGUAGUGAGUUAAAAAAAAAUCAAGUGUUUGAUUACACAGUGUACCAUCAACAAUUACAGAGGUAUGAAGAUGGCCUGAUACUCUAACCCAGUGGUUCUCAGCCUUCCGAACACUGCAACCCUUCAAUACAGUUCUUCAUGCUGUGGUGACCCCAAUCACAAAAUUAUUUUUUCUGCCACUUUAUCACUGUGAUUUUGCUGCUGUUGUGAAUCAUAAUGUUACAUAUCUGAUAUGCAGUCCCCAAAGGGGUCUGUGUCAGUCACACAUUGUUAAUAACCCAGAAGAGGGUGGCUCUGCUAGGGCACCAAGUGAAGCAGACAAAAGAAUCAGGGAUCAGAACCUUAUUGUUUCUUAAGUCUCACAUCUUCUACCACAGAGUGUCAGAGCUGAAAUGGACACUGGUGGUCGAUCACCUAACACCCACAUUUGGCAAACAAAGAAACUGAGGCACAGGCAGCCAGGGGCCAGCACAUAGUAAUCAAAGCUUAGGUUCAGUUGUGCCUUGUGACCAGCUGCCCUUCACUCUAAUGAUAUACUUAAGGUGGGGGAUAGCAACUUCAGUCUCUCAGUUUCUAUGGUAAUAUGAAGUGUUCAAGUACACAUUAAUUACAUGUAUAUAGAAAUGUGAAAGUUUUUCAUCUUAGCACCCUAAUUAUAGCAGAGAAUUACCUUGCUGUCCUUCAUCCCAGCUAAAUGCUGGAUGGCUCCAGAUAUUCCAACAGCAAUAUAAAGUUCCUGAAACAAGAGACUGCAUUAUUAAUAUGCAUUUAUAUUAUAUAACACUUUUGAGGCAGAGUCUUAGUUAUCUUAGGCUGUCCCAAACUCACUAUCUAGCUGAAGAUGACCUUGAAAUUCUGAUCCUCAUGUCUCUGCUUCCCAAGUGCUGGUAUUAUAGGCAUGCAUCACCCCUCGUUUAUGAAGUGCUGAAAUUUAAUCUUUGUUCAAUAUGGCUUUGUGCAUGCUAGUUAGCCCUCUACCAUCUAUGUGCGACAGUCCCAGCCAUAUAAUAGUUUAUAAAGAGUAUACCAUUAGUGAUUUAAGUCUUAUGCAAAAGAUAUGUGAAAUGAAUUACCCUGCAGCACCACUUAAAUCAUGCUUUCUUCUCCAAUUUUUGCACUGUGGUUCUUUUUCUAGUGAGUUCCUAUAGUAGUGGUGGUAUAAAAUACAUGUAUACAUAUAUUGAGCAUUUACAAUGCAUCAAACACUGCUCAGCAUCCCACAGCAACCAUCCCAGCUCCACACUGGCACCUAUGGCACUCACUAUGCAAUUCACAGGUGCUGUAUCUACCCAUUUGCAGCAUAAAUACAUUGUAUAUUAACAUAUAAACACAUUCAAAUGUAUUAAAAUAGAUUUUUUUGCUUGUUUGCCUUCUCACAAAAGGAUAUUUGUAAAAAUGGUAAUUAAGAAAUAUUUAUUUAACUUCUUAUUUAUAAAGGCCAGAAACACAAAUUAGUGUCAAGAGGUUCUAAGUGUGCCUGUGUUCAGACAGAUGGGUGGAUAGAUGGGUGUGUACAGGCACACAACAAACUUCUUAAAAGCACUGGGUGAGGCUUUCCAGAACACAGCACAAAGGCUCCCACAUGGGAGUCUCUGAGUAAUGAUGGCAUUUGCACUUCUUCCUGACCCUCUGUCCCCAGUAAUUACAAGAAAAUCAUAGUCAACUACUGUUCUAUCCCCUUACCUAAAAAUUUUUAAAGUACCAAUGUUUGAAAAUUAAACUGUCAUCAUGGAAGAGUGAUUUAAUGAGCACUUAAUUACACUUAGCUCUAUUUUGUCUACUAAGUAUAAUUAAAACUUCAACUGAGAACUUUUCCCACCCAUAACCUGGCAUGCCCUGGCUUGGGUGGGAGGAGCACUGACCACGUAACUAGAAUGUCACUACUUUGGGGUGAGUAAUACUCACUUUAUUACAAGGCAAACACUUCAAAGCGACUGGCAGUGUCUGGUGGUCUCACCUUGUUUUUCUAUUGCUUAUGAAUUAAUCUAACAACUGCUCGCUCUAUCAGAGAACAUUCGGCUGGGACAUGGAAGUAAUACGGUCCUUCAGUGUUAUAUUUCCUAAACCUAGGCGGGCAUGGACAUGCACAGGGCAUUUCUCUCCCGGGGUCUUGUCUACUGGUGCUUUUCCAGGAGCACCAGGAUACUCUCAAGAGUAACCAGACCGAACACCACAAGCAGAGAGAUCUUCAACUCUGCAGCAGCCCUUCUCCCACGUUGUUAGCAUAACCACAAGCCUUCUUUUAAGAUUCUAAAGUGCCCAAGUGCUUCCAGAACAGCACAGUGCCUCCAUGUAACUUGGAAGCAGUCUUGUCUCCAGUAAGGUAAUCAAGAUAGCUGUCCCCCAAGUUAUUCUUUUUUUCCCCCUGUAGCUGAGGACUGAACCCAGGGCCUUGGCUUUGCUAGGUAAGCACUCUACCACUGAGCUAAAUCCCCAACCCCAUUCCCAAGUUAUUCUUAUAAAGAGACCAUUUCUAUCUCUCUGUGUGUGUAUGUUUAUGUAAUAUCUAUCUAUCUAUCUAUCUAUCUAUCUAUCUAUCUAUCUAUCUCUAUCUAUCUAUCUAUCUAUCUAUCUAUCUAUCUCUAUCUCUAUCUCUAUCUAUCUAUCUAUAUAUAUAUCUCAAAUGCAAUUUGCCUCGAAGACUAUGUUUUGGGAUGACAAGUCUAGUACAGAAACCGAAGGUGAACAGCUAACACAUGCUCUGUCCUGAAUAUACCAGUACUUGCACAGCGGGACUGCAGCAUGUGUUACCACACCCAGCUGACGUAAUGAUGUUAAAGCAAACUAUUCAGAUAGGAAAUGUCUCACUAGUCACUCUUUCUGAUCACCCUUCUAUGUAGAUUCUCAAAGCAAGCAUUGGAAUGGAUCAAUAGUCCUAUAUAUGACUCUUUUUGACAUACUAAUUAAAAUUCAACGUGUCUUAAAAGUUCCAUUUGUAGCAUGAAAUGCUAAUAAAAAUGUUAGUUCAUUCUGGCAGUAAAUACAAGCAUACCAUAAGUCUACUUUGAAUUUCUGCCUCCCAUAAAUGAAUCCCAUUGCCUUUCACCAUAAAUGUACCAAGAAGACAAAAGAAUUUUGGCCAAUGCCAACCCAAGGCAGGUGCUUCAGGUUAUGAAAUGACUCCUCUAUGAUCAACAACCUAAUGGAGCCACAUGACCAAUGGGACUUCAUUUUGUUGUCUUGAAACCUGGUUCUUUGAGUAAAAACAAAAACACUGAAAUAAGAGCUCAGGAGGAGCUGGGACUUCAGGAUGCUGUAUUGAGUCCUGUGGCUCUCAGGCAGGAAGAGAAGCUUUCUUCUUCCUCUAAAAAACAUGUUCAGGCAAUUAGACUAAUAUCCAUGGAUGCUUCCUCAAGCUUCAGAAAGCAUUUUUCUGUGUUUCAAUAAUAAUAAUUAGUAUGUACAAAACUCUACAGAUGCUAAUUUAUGGAGCACUUCAGAUACUGACUGCUUCACAACACAAGGCAAUCCCUGCCCUUAGGCACUUUCCUUCUAAAUCAGUAAAAUAACUGGGAGAGAAAAUGAGAGAAGAUGUUGGAGGAAGAACAGCAAUUAAGGUUCAGAAAGAGGUGGGGUUAGAGACAGAGACAUCCUGGAAGGAGGAGGGGGCAUCUUGAAGCUAAUCCUAGGGGCUUUAGUAAAUGUAGGAAGAGAAAAGGAAAAGGAAAGGGAGGGAAUGAGGGAGGGAAGGCAGGAUAGAUAGAUGGCACAAGAAAGAUCAGGAACAGAAGAACAGACCCACCACAUGGCUGGUAGCAGUAUGGGUUGGUUACUCUGUUGGGAAGUUAUAAAGCUAUGGGAUAGGAGAAGGACAAAGUGAUAUGGCAGAGAGAUGGCACCAAUAAGCUUUCCCCAAAGAAAGCUCUAAUACUCUUAUGCUUCCCAAUUUAUAAACCAAAAAACAAAACAAAAAACCCUAUACCUACAGACCCACCCAAAGAACUCAAGGGCUGAGAUCUCUCAAUGGACUGCCAAACCCCAGGUCUCAGAUGCUGCUUACAGACAUGCACAGAAGAGCAUGCUGGGGUUAAUAACCUUGGCUCCUGAGCCUGUUCAGAUACAAACCUAUGCCCCUGCCACUUGCUUGUCUUUAAAAUGGGACGAUAACAGUCCCUAUUUCUUAAGAUUAUUGUCGAGGGUUCAGUCUUUAGCAAAGUAUCUAGUUUCCCAAGGCACACUGAUGCGCCUUCUCUCACAGUCUGAAAUUUGUUCAAACCUUGAUUUCACUGGUGGAUCUGGGUGGAGUACUCUAAGGUGGCCUUAGGACUACUCUGUACAGUCAAACAGGUUAUACACUAAGCGACUCUGGAGAAAGGCACCAUUUAUGCCUGUCACUAUUAAUGCACACUCUUAUUACAAUGACUUUCCAACAGAUGGCAGCACAGGAACUUGAGAAAAGGGUACUUUUAUAAUUCAAAGGAGCUGAAUGAAGUGAGGCAGCCCAAAUCCUCUGUGAUACAAAUAAUAAGUUUAAGUGUACAGGUCAGGAAACGUUUAAUGGUGAUGGUUAGGUGGGUUUUUUCCCCCUUCUACUUUGUAUGAAUGCAGCCUCAAACCAGAGGUCAAUACUGGGUGUCUUCUUCAAUCUUCUUCCCCUUUAUUUUUUGAGACAAGUUCUUUCACUGAACCUGAAGCUAAAUUUCAAUUUGGCUAGGCUGGGUGGACAGCAAGCCUCAGGGAUCACCCCAUUUCUAUACUUUCUCGGCAUUGGCAUUACGAGUAUGCAGUGUUUCAUAUGGUUUAUUUUGUGUUACAAACAUAUCUUAAACUAAUUCUUUGGGUAUCUCAUAUAAUCGCAGAAUGUAUUUUGAUCCUAUCCUUCCCACUCUCCCCAUGUUCUCCUUUUUAAAACACACUAAGUCAAAUUAGUGCUGCUUUGCAGGAUCAUCUACUUACUGGAGCCUGGGUAGCCUCUCAGAGGUCUUAUUCUUGAAGAACAGUCAUCAACAAACAACAGCUCCUCAGGCAGAGGUGGGAACCCCUGCCAUAUCCAUGCUGAAAUCCUGAGUGGCUUGAUCUUGUCCAGAUCAAGAAACCACAGCCACUGUGAGUUCAUGAGAACAGUCUUACCAUGUCCAGAAGACACUGGCAGCAGUCUACUGCAAUCUCUGCUUCUCACAAUCUCUCUGCCCCUUUUCUGUGAUGUUCCCUGAGCCCUGAGGGAAGGAGGUAUGGCACAGAUAUCCAAAGUCAUUUAUUCUCUCCAUUUGAAACUCUUAUGUGUGUCUGUCUUUACCACUAUCCACUGCAAAGAGUUUUUCUGAUGAGGGUUGAGAGAGGUACUUAUCUAUGAGUAUAAAGGUAAGCAUUUAGAAACAAUUAGAUAUGACAUCCUUUCAGUAAUAAUAGUAGUAGAUUUUCCUCCAGGACCUAUGAUCUCCCUUGGGUGCUUGACUCAGAUUACAGUUAUCAGGGCAUGAGCUGUGUCCUAUGGAGUGGGCCUUAAAGUGGUUGAUUACCCCCUCUCCUCACUCAAUGUUAUCAUGACACUACUGUACCAACAUGCAUAUCUUGCCUAGCUCUCCAGAUAAGACUGUUGAUGAUUUUUCUCCUGUCAACCUGUAUAGCACCCUCUGACAUAAAAGCUAGCUAGUGGGGAGGAAGCUUCUAGAUUAGUACUACCUUGAUUUCUCCACAUUCUGUGACCCAAGUAUGCCACAUCUUCCACAUCAGGGAUGUACCAUCAAGUUCUGGUGGAUAACCAAGAAUGGUGGUAAUAGCUUGAACUGUUUGUAUGUGUGAGGUGGGGCAUUCUCCUAACCAACAACUUAAAGGAAGUAUCCCAUGGGGCCUUUACGUGGGGCUUGAAAUCAGGUCCUCAUGAUUGCAUGGCAAGCACUCCACAACUCAGCAGUCUCCCCCGCCUUGGUUGGCUGGUCUUCCUAUUGUUGAUGUUGUUGGGCCUUACAAAUAAGAAAAAGCUUGCAAGUCCUUUGCCCUUGUCCUCAAGAAGUGUACAAUCUAACAAAGCUUAAGCAAACUCAUAAUAAAGGAAAGGGGCAAAAAAGAAUGACAGUUCUGGUCUCUUGUAUAAAUUCUCAGUUCCUGAUUGGCCACUGAGAAGUAUAAAGGCCUUUAGGAGCAGGAAGCAGAUGGGGGUGGAGACAGUGUUUUACUCUUUGGCAGUCUAUUUGACCCUACUUUCUUAGUCCUUCAAAGCACACACAACUUUUAUAGUUCUAACUCAAUACACUUAAGGCCAACUGAAGGAGGCCUGACUUAGUACUUCCACAGAAAUCUAAGGAUCCUGAUGAGUUCAAUGGCCAGUCAGGUUUGGCCUCUGUAGGAAGCAUUAAUAUCACUGAUUCAGAUCUCAAGCUGGAACUCUAAGGGAUGUAAUCUGAGCCCUGCUUCUCUGGGGAAGCUGAGUGCAGAGGCUAAAGGGAAAGCUAUCUCCUACUUACAACACUGACUGUAGUCUAACACUAUUAAGCCUAAAACAGAGAGAUUCAAUAGAGAUACCUUAUAAGCCACAUAUUUAAGAUUUUUGGUCAGUUGUAUUAUGGUAAAAGGAAACAGCUAAGACUAAUUUUAAUAAAAUAAUCUCAAUUUAGAUUAACCACAUUUCCAGUGGCAAAACUUUACAAAUCCAAAAUAAUAGAACAAACUAUGGAGAAGCUUUUCAUAAGCACUGUUAGGACACUGUGGGCUGUGGCCUAGAGACAGAACUGAUGGCUGUUAUUUGGUUCCAAAACAUGAGGCAGAGCAGCACAGAGAGAGCCAACCAGAGUCCCAACCAACCAGCAAAUACACACUGCAAUUCUGCUGACAUGGACCACUGUGAAAAAACCAAAGGUGGAUAAAAAUUCUACUGGCUUACUACAGGAAGUACACUCUAAAAAAGCAAUUCUCCAACUAGUAAAUUUUAUUUCCUAGUAAUAAAUAUUCAUAGUUUGCCACUAAAGAAUUUUAUCCUUAAAACCUUAUGCCCUCAAAAUAAAGUCCUAAGGAUAUCAAAAAAUUAACAUGGAAAUUAAAAAAAUACCUGAAAUGAAACACAAAAAAGGGCAGAGUAUAGCACAACAUGUGGGAUUUAGCUAAAGGGACGGCUACAAACAUAUUAGCCAGUUAAGUUAGAAUUUUUGUCUAAAUUCCUAAAUGGUGCUGCAAGACAGCUGGGAUGAACUCUGAUGCAAAUCCUUAGCACAGUGUGUGUGUGGGGUGUGUGUGAUGUGUGCAUGUGUAUGAAUGAAGCUGAAAUUAGUUUAUAACAUGAACUCAUGAAUUCUUUUUUUUUUUUCCUGGAAUUGUGAUUCUGCAUGGAGCAACUUCAGAUCUGCCUUACUUUAAACAACGGAGAGUGAAGAGAUUGAAACUUACUUUUUGUUUAUCUGAAAUAUGGAUAUGAGCAAGACUGGUUAUAUCUAGAGCACUCAGAACAGAAAACUAAGGCAGUAUUGUUUCUACUCUAAAAUUUAAUCAGGUUUUAAAUUUCUUUCCUACCAACAUUCUCCCUCUCUAGAUAGAGUUGGGGGAAGGAACAUGAAAAACUGCAUUUUGCCAAAUGAAAAAAAUUAAAACACACUUUAAAAAAUUAAAAUAGUUCUCAUUAAAUAAGUACAGAGUCAAUGUUAUGCACUCAAAACCAAAAUCCCCAUGCUGUCUGAGACAAGAGGCUUGCAGAAGGGAAUUUACUUCUCAGCUCUUUACUGAACAGUCUGGAGGCAGAGGCUAAGCAGCAACUGUUGCAGCUAAACAGAAAACAGGCCACACAUCAGGUGAGGCUAGAAAUGUAUUUCUCAGCAAAUAACAAAUGUAUCUUUGAGGAAUAGGUUGUCUGAACCAUAUUUUCUAAUUAUUGCAAGCCUGUUAUGCAUUAACAUUGCUAUAUUUCAUCCUCCUGCGGUUCAUUUUAAAAAGCCAAACCAUUUCUUCUGUUUGCCAAGUUGUGUUUAAGACUUCUUUUUGGAAGAGGCUCCAAAAAUGCCGAGACAACUCUCUGUGGCUCUUUUCUCAAACAGCUUUCUGCUUCUGUGACCAAAUUGUCAAGCAGGGUUGUGGCUAAACUACAGUUUACAUGAAUGGAAGUUGGAUUCAGUCUCACUUUAGAGCUGAAGUUCUGUCCCACCCAUGAUUUUCUGCUUCAAGGGUGAUCAGGAUACAAGACUGUAUGCCAAUCACACAAAUGUGUUGUUGGUGAUGCGCCUGCACUGAUACCGUUGAUCAUUAUUUUAUUUUACUGACUUAUAAUAACUCUACAACAAAGGAACUAGUCCCAUUGUAUAAAAGAGAGCAGACUUAGGCAGGUUUACUAGCUAUCUGAAGUUGUAUCCACCAAGUAAAAAGCAGGCUUUUUAUUCCUAGCUUUAUUAAGGUAUUUUUUAAAAUAAAUUAUUGGUAUACAUACUCCUGUUUACUGUUUACCACAACCAGCUGGCUAGCACACUUACUACCCCAUGUCAUCAUGUUUCCCCUUCUUUCCUUCAGAGAUGGGAGACUUAUGAUUCAUUCUCUUGGGGCCAGAGGAGUAACUCAAGCACAGACACUUGUCUACAUAUGCAAAGCUCUAGGCUGAAUCACUAGCAUUGAAAAAAACUUUUAUGUAAUUACUCUCAACACAGUUCAAGUAUCUAACCCAAUAUUAAAUAUCAUUCUGGAAUUAGCUCCCCAGAGAAAACUUCAUACCUUUGGCUACCCUCUCCCCAUUCAUUCACCAUCAACAACCCCUCUCUACUCUCAAAAGAUAGGCUUUAUAACCUAAGAAGUCCUUGGUUAUAAAGUCAACACUUUUUCUACUAUACCAUGUAUGACUAAAUGAGGUUAUAGUACCAUAAUAUGACUCAAGUGAAGUCAUCAGUCAGCUGAAACUACAGCAAACAAUACACCUACCAUAGAGAAAAUGCCUGGAACAUUACGAGACCAGAUGAGACUGACCCACAGAAGUGGCAAGUCACUGAAGUUACUGCUAUCAUUAGUGUUAAUGGUGCUUAUUUAAUUUGUGAAGUCUACAUUGAAAACUAGCUGAUAUUUUUCGGUUAGCAAUCAAUAAAGUUCCAAAUAAUCUGGUUCCAAAUAAUCAUUACAGGAAAAUGUCUAGAAGCAAAGCUACUGAGUGGGUACUUGAUGACUUAGUAGAUGGGUCUGGUGUUUAUAAGAGAAUAUGUAGCUGAGGCUUCUCAGUCACAGGUUCUCCAAACCUUAAAUUCAUAUGAUUUCUCCCACAGUCUCUUACACAGCCCACUUUCUCUUCUAAGAGGCCCCAGAAAUUGGCAACCUCUUCACAACCAGCUAACUUACAAAAUGUUGAAAGCUGGCCAUGAACUCAUGAUGCCCCUGCUACCACAUUCCAAAUUGCUAGGCUAAUACCACCAUGCUAGGUUCAAAGCUUUAUGGGUUUUAUUUAUUUUUAUUUUUGAUGUGGGUAUUAAAAAUAUUAUACAUGUUGAUAUACAUAUUGAAAAAUAUGAACAACAAAAGUUAAUUUGCCCUUGACCUUUUUUAGUAUUAUUUUAGCUACAGGUUUCAAUUAUAUAGUAUGUAUAUAUGUAUAGAACCUGAAACAAGUUUUCCUUUAAAAAAUGUUUUCAAGGGGCUGGGGAUUUAGCUCAGUGGUUAGAGCGCUUACCUAGGAAGCGCAAGGCCCUGGGUUCGGUCCCCAGCUCCAAAAAAAAGAACCAAAAAAAAAAAAAAAAAUGUUUUCAAAAUAGGAUUCAAUUAUUUUCCAAUGAAAUGAUUUUCCUCUACCUAAUUUGAUUCUAUACUAAUUCAUAAUUUUUUUCCAUUUAGAGAAAUAUAAUUUUAGUAUACCUAAAAUAACAGAAAGUCAAAUAUGACCUUGUACACUUUACCAAAUCUAUUGAUAUUGAAAUGUUUUACUAUAAGGCAUAAAAAACUUAGAAUACAAGAAACAAAGUCAAGAUUACAAAGCCUUUCAACUUAGAAAAUCACAUAGAAAGUUUAUUUUGAAAACCAAAUUGUCAUCAGCAAAUUUCUUAAUGGAUCCAAGUCAAAAUAUGUAAUAUUUUACUUAUCUGUAAAAUUUAGGAGAUGUAAAAGACCACCAUAAUUAUCUAUGUCAUAUACUUUAAUCAAUAAAAGUAAGUAUAGGCUACAGAAAGGAACCCAGACUCUGACCUCCAAGCAGUAUUCUUCCCAUUUACCAAGCUGUUUUCUCUUCAAAUUUCUAAAACCAGGCCAUUACUUACCAAUGACUUCCUCCUCCCAUUUAUUUAUUUAUUUAUUUAUUUAUUUAUUUAUUUAUUUACUUACUUAUCUUUGUGAUAGGGUUUAUCUGUGCAGCUCUAAAAUAAUAUUAUUUUAGGAAGUAGGCUGGGUUGGUGGCACAUACCUGCACUGAAGAAGUAGAACAGGGUAGUAGCUACAGUUUAAGGCCAAUAGCAGACACUGAAGGUCAGCCUUGUCCACACAGUAAGCUUCAAGUCUCCAAAGCAAGACAUGGAGGCCCUGCCUUGAUAAUACACACAAAGGAGUGAGACAUAGACUCCUGUCCUCUGUGGUGGGGAGAACUAUUUCCAAAAUGCUAUUUGUCUUCUAAUACUAAUAUAUAGUUACACUCAUUGGUUGAUAUUGUUUUUUUAAUUUUUUGUUUUUCAUUUUGGUUUCCUGAAACAGGGUCUUGCUCUUGCUCUAUGACACAGCUAACCUGGCAUUAUGUAUCCUAAAUCCACCUUGAGUGUAUAAUCCUUCUGCCUCUGUCUCCUAAGUGAGGGUAUGGAACUGCAGGGAUAUGGCACCGUACUUGGCUUUAACUUUUUCGUGAGUGUGCGUGUGCGUGUGUGUGUGUGUGUGUGUGUGUGUGUGUGUUUCUUUGGCCUCAAAGUAAAUUUAAGUACUGACUAUGCUAAAUCCAUUAGCUGUAUUUCUAUCUGGUACAGUGUCUUAUUCUUUGACAUUCAAAUGCACAAGUAUUAACUUGAAGUCGCACACACACAAAAUAAAUUCAUUUUUAUAUGAAAGAAUGCAAACUACACUGUGUUGGUUUUUCAGAAUGGAAAUUUACAAGUUUUAUCCCUUUCAAGUUAUCAUUUCAAGAUGGCUAAAGUAGAUUUGCUAUCUACUCUAAUUGAUUUUCAUGUCAGCUGUUAAAUUAGGUUGACUAUGUACAAGACAUGUCAAUCUAUCAUUCAGUAGCUUUUAAGCAGAUAAAUGGGACAGAAAUGGGGGAGGGAUAAAUGUAUAUAAUAAUCUCUGAAAUUUAAAUAGUUUAGCUUUCUAUAAUAAAGUGGUAAUGGGGAAAAAAUUCCACUAAUCCAAGCCUUCUGAAAUAACUGUAAAGAAGUCAGUCUGAUAAAUUUUAGCUGAGAAAAUAAACCAAGGAUAUAAAUAGAGCUGCUAAUUUUUGGCAAGUGCACAACUGAACAAUGUAUACUUGCAAACUACAACCUACAAAUGCUGCACCUUCACUCUGUCACUUAAGCUUCCUUGUAAGGACUUUGAUCAUCCAGGCCUUGUAAUUACCUUUUAAGAAGCAUGCUUAGGGUGUUUUCUGGACUGCGGGCCCACACAGCAUUUCUCUUUGUCCUCUUGGGGACAGAACAUCAAUUGCUUUCAGCCAAAUGCACUCACAUAUGAAUAUUUUAGUACAAUUUAAUGCUUCUAUACCAACCCCAAAGGAAAAGCACAUCAAUUUGUGAACACAGUUCUCUUAGAGCUAAAAGCCAAGCUAGAUAAUGCAGUAUGAAAGCAGUUGUCAAUCUUAGCUUUUUAGCAAGUUAGAGGGCAGCCCAUCCCAUAAACUCAUUCCCAGUUGUAUACAAAUAACUCUAGAAAGUUUGUUUCCACACUGACUUUUCAACACUAUCAAAAUUUCAAAACAAAGGUCAGAAAUAAAAUGUACUGUUUUGGUAAAUUCUCCUAAACUGCUUACUCAUCUGGUAACAUUGAUUCUAUUCACUUAAUCUCAGAAUUAUAAACAGGAAGUUGAUUUGUCAGUAAAAUAUCAAAAUAUAGGCAAAGUAAUCCACAUGUACUAAGACGCUGCACUAAGUGUAAGGACACUGUCUCUGGCAACAGAUAGCAGAUUCUCUAGUGAUUACAACAUGCUUAUGUGUUUGGAUGGUUAGGAAGGUCAGGUCGGCAUAAUCAAACAGAUCACUGAGAGCAAUCCAGAAGGGUACUCCCAAACAUAUCAAGACUUAAAAAGUCAUACUAAAUCUGGUCACAAUGUAAACUUAAAACUCUGAACUCCAACAAAUAAUGAAUCAUAAUAAAAUCCAAUGAGCUUGACAAAUGUCAGAGAAUUGAUUUAAUGAUUGUUCAUGAUUUCAAACAACAGAAUCUUCUAAGAAUCUGUAGGGGCUGGGGAGGUGAACCAGUGGGUCAGAGCACUUCCUGUAAAAGCAAGAGGAUCUGAGUUCAAACACAAAGUACCCAUGUAAACUCUAGAGACAAUCCACACACCCUGCAAGCCUAGCACCAGUCACCAGAAACAAGCAGAUCCCAUGCUUGUUGGUGAGCAACCUAGAUGAAAAGGGGCAACUCCAGAUUCAGUUGAGAGGACCUAUGUCAACGAUUAAGGUAAAGACCAAUAAAGAAAAACAGACAUCUUCUGGUCUUUGUAAACACAUAUAGGAUGCAUACCCUAUGUAUUAACACAUGUGGAAACACAUUAUACACAUAUAUAAAAAAGAAUCUGUAAUAGUUACUAUAAAAUCAUCUAGGGCACAGCACUUGUAACAUCCCAGGCAGUUUUAUAUGACAUAUGCACAUGGACUCUCUCCUUUAACUGGUUUUAUGUAUAUUAGUUCACUAAUUAUGUAUGAAUCUGUGAAAUAGGGAUUAUUGUCACUAUUACAUGUCUCAGGAAACUGUACCACAAGAGGUUAAGGUCAAUAGAAGCAAAUGGUAAGCUAAGAGCAGAACUCGGGCAGCUUGACUGGCAUCUAGAUUGUUAACCAACCUUACUUCCUUCCAUACUUCUUCCUCCCUCCCUUCCUUCUUCCUCUCUCCCCUCUUCUCUCUCUCUCCCUUUUUUAUUUUUUAAAGACAGUCUUGCAGUCCAGCCUGGCCUGGAAUCAUGUACAGCCUGGUCAUCCUGCCUCCAUUUCUGAAGAACUAGGGUUAGAAGUAUGUGCCACGAUCCCAAACCCUCAACUUGCACAUUGUGUACAGCAGGUAUUACUAUCACCAUCCAAACAAACAACCCAAAUCAAGAAUUUAUCUGAGUAUGCACUUAAGGUGCUUAUAAAUGCAAGUGAGACUAUACAAUCCACUCAGCAGUUGUCCCUUAGUCACUCUCCACAAAGGAUUAUACGUUAUGUCCACACUGUGUAACUGCAAGUAAAGAGAACAUAAACAAAUCCAUCUGGAGAUGUUUUUGCAUAUUACUUUUUGAUUCAAAGCUUUAGUGAGUCAAAUUAGUGGUUAAAAGCCACUAAUUCUAGCACUUCAGGGGCUAAGAAGAUAAUCAUCUCUUCUUUGGAUCUGAGAGACCUUCUACCACCUUGCUUCCAAUUACCCUGAUGCCAUGAAUAGUUAGUACAGCUCCCUAUCUGUAACAUAUAGGCCAUCUAUAAAAUACUAUAAAAUGGGCAUGUGACAUAUUCAUGUAGCAGGAUACUGCAAACUAAUGAACAAACAAAAGGCAGCUGCUUGCAUUUACACAGAUAAUCCUCAAAAAUAAAUUAUCUAGGCAUAAAGAACCCAUAUAGUGUGUUGUUACUGAUAUUAAAAACAAAACAAAAUUGUGUAUUGGUGCUUUUCCUUAACACAUUGUUAUCAUGAUAAACCAUCACAAGUAUAAAAUCUAUAAGGCAUAUGCCCAUAUCUAAGUAAUUCAGAAGCAAACACAUCAAGCAUCAUUGAACUUCAGAAGUUAAAGGAAAUCUGUGAGGUCCUCUUGUUAGUUUUUUGUCAAUUUAAAACAAACUAGACUGCAAGCUGGUACAACCACUCUGGAAAUCAGUAUGGAGGUUCCUCAGAAAACUGGACCAAGCUAUAUCACUUUUGGGCAUAAAAGAUAUAACAAGGACACAUGCUCCACUAUGUUCAUAGCAGCCUUAUUUAUAAUAGUCAGAAGCUGGAAAGAAUCCAGAUGCCCUUCAACAGAGGAAUGGAUUAAAAAAUAUGUUACAUUUACACAAUGGAGUACUACUCAGCUAUUAAAAACAACUUCAUGAAAUUCUUAGGCAAACAGGUGGAACUAGAAAAUAUAAUCCUGAGUGAGGUAACCCAGUCACAAAAGAACACACAUGGUGUGCACUCACUGAUAAGUGGAUAUUAUUAGCCCAAAAGCUCAGAAUAUCCAAGAUACAACCCACAGACCACAUGAAGCGCAAGAAGUUGGAAGACCAAAGAAUGGGUGCUUUAGUCCUUCUUAGAAGGGAGAACAAAAUAUUCACAGGAAGAAAUACAGAGACAAAGUGUAGAGCAGAGACUGAGGGAAAGGUCAUCCAGAGACAGCCCCACCUGGGGAUCUAGACAAUAUUGUGGAUGCCAAGAAGUACAUGCUGACAGGAGCCUGAUAUAGCUGUCUCCUGUGAGGCUCUGCCAGACUUGAAAUAUACAGAGUUAGAUGCUCUCAACCAACCACUGGACUGAAAAUGGGGACCCUAGUGGAGGAGUUAGAAAAAGGACUGGAGGAGCUGAAGGGGUUUUCAACCCCAUAGGAAGAACAAUAUCAACCAACCAGACCCCCCCAGAGCUCCCAGAGCCUAAACCAUCAACCAAAGAGUACACAUGGAAGGACCCAGGGCUCCAGCUGCAUAUGUAGCAGAGGAUGGCCUUAUUGGGUAUCAAUGAGAGAGGCCCUUGGCACUGUGAAGACUCAAUGCCAGGGUAGGGAGAUGGGAAGGAGUGGGUGGGUGAGUCGGGGAAUACUCUCAUAGAUGCAGGGGGAGAGGGGAAGGGAUAGGGGGAUUCCAGAGGGGAAAUCGGGAAAGGGAAUAACAUUUGAAAUGUAAGUAAAGAAAAUAUCCAAUUUAAAAAAAAAAAGAAAAAAGUAACAAGUUAAAAAAAAACAAACUAGAGUCACAGGGGAAGAAGGAUGUUAAGCUGAGGAAUGGUUUCUUUCAUACUUCCUGUGGGCAUAUUGUAGUACAUUUCCUUAAAUGAUGAUUGCUACAGAAGGGCCAAAGUCCUCUAUGGUCAGUGCUUGCCUGGGCAGGUGGUUAUGAAUUGCACAAGAAAGCAAACAGUGAGCCAGUAAGCAGUGUUCUCUCAUGGUCUCUGAUUCAGUUAUUCAUAGAAGGUUUUUGCACAAGUUCCUAGCUAACUUUUCUCAGAGAUAGACUGUGAUCUAGGAGUUGUAAUAAAAAAUAAACCCUUUCCUCUCCAAUUUGGUUUUGGUCAGUAUUUUAUCACAACACAAAACUAAGACUUCCUCCAAAUCCCCCGGUUUCAACUUCCAGAAUCACAUCUUUAGAUAUUGCUCUCCAUGGAAAAAAUUAUUAACAUAAUCCCUUUAUAAUCUAAGAAAUUUGUCAAAAGGCAAAAACCAAAGUUAUAGAAAAGGAGUAGAUGGAGGAAAGACACCGAGGCCACAGGGAGUCCCUACGGAGGCAGGAAUAAUGAACUCUAGUUAGCAGGUAUAGUAUUAGCACCAAAAAGGAAAGGAUGGUGUUUUUCUCUGACAAAGGGGACAAGCUGGAGCUUUGUUUUGUACAGUGUUUGCUUUUAUAGCAAGUACACUCGUUUGCCAUUUUUGUCCUAGAUAGGUAGUCUUUACCCUGUGCUCUAGGCUCUAAUCAUCUUGCAGAGGGAGAAAGCUGAGCUUGCACCUGACUGCAGAUCUAGUCUUUCUAAUAAAAUUCAUUUGAAGAAGGGUUUGACAACUUAAUUGCCAGACAGCAGUUUUACUAUAACAUAAGCCUGAGUAGCAGACACAGAACCAAAUAGUUUCUGCCUCUCUUGGAAAUGCACUUACCAUACAAUUGGCCCACACUGAGGGCAUUAUAAAAACAACCCUAUAAACUACUGUUCUAUUUAUAGUAAAGAUAUUGUUGUGAAUGUCAAUCAAUAGUGUCUUCUUUAGAUGGACUCAGGGGAUAUUCUCUGAUCUUGAUACCAGGCCAAAUGAUACUUCCCAUGUACAAUUAGUUUGUUUUACCUUUGGGACACUGUAAAUCAGGGCACUGAUCUUGUGUCCUAAUAUGAACUGGCUUCUAGAAAGUCUAAUGCCAAAUUUGUAGCCCACAUCUAGAGAGGGCCACAUAGCUUUCCAAUCUUUCUUCAUUUGCCACUUAAACUUUCUCAAAACUAAAGUGUCAUCAAUCACACAGAGAUUGGAAAGCUUGCCUGUCAUAGGUAGGCAGUAGGGAAUAGGGUCAUGAAUACUGAGAGAACCUAAGAUUGAAAUCAAAUAUGAACCAAGCACUACUGCUCACCACAACCAAGAAAGCGAAGGCUCAAGGCAACAAUGAAUGCAUGCACUACUUGACUCAAAGGGAGAUUCCGUACUGGGUCAGAACUAGUAAUGAAUAUGAAGAUCAAUGAUAAAGCUGGGAUAUUAAAAUGCAGAAAAUGGGGUACUGGAGAGAUGGCUCAGUGGUUAAGAGCACUGACUGCUCUUCCAGGGUUCCUAUUUCCAGAGUUCAAUUCCCAGCACUCACAUGGCAGCUCACAACUGUGUAUAAUAGAAUCUCAUGUCCUCUUCUGGUGUGCAGACAGACAUUCAAAGUACUCAUAUACAUAAAAUAUAUAAAUGGAAAAUCUUUAAAAUAUAAAAAAUGAAAAUAAAAGCACAAACAAAAUUUGAAAAUAAAAAACAACUAAACUAGAGCUGGAGCUAGAGCGAGGGCUCAGCAAUUAAGAGCACUAACUGUUAUUCUGGAGGACCCAGAUUCAAGCCUUUGCAUCCACACAGCAGCUCACAACAGUUUGCAACUACUGUCCCAGGAGAUCCAACACCAUCUUCUCAGCACCAGGCAGGCAUAUGGUGUGUGUACGUACGUACGUACGUACACACACACACACACACACACACACACACACACACACACACACACACACACAUACACAUACAUACAUACAGAUGAAACAGCCACACACAUAAAA